UGCCAGACUCCUACGGGAGGCAGCAGUGGGGAAUAUUGCACAAUGGGGGAAACCCUGAUGCAGCGACGCCGCGUGAAGGAAGAAGUAUCUCGGUAUGUAAACUUCUAUCAGCAGGGAAGAAAACAGACGGUACCUGACUAAGAAGCCCCGGCUAACUACGUGCCAGCAGCCGCGGUAAUACGUAGGGGGCAAGCGUUAUCCGGAUUUACUGGGUGUAAAGGGAGCGUAGACGGCAGUGCAAGUCUGGAGUGAAAGGCGGGGGCUCAACCCCCGGACUGCUCUGGAAACUGUACGGCUGGAGUGCAGGAGAGGUAAGUGGAAUUCCUAGUGUAGCGGUGAAAUGCGUAGAUAUUAGGAGGAACACCAGUGGCGAAGGCGGCUUACUGGACUGUAACUGACGUUGAGGCUCGAAAGCGUGGGGAGCAAACAGGAUUAGAUACCCCUGUAGAA
rnacentral:rRNA from 1 species